UACGUAGGGGGCAAGCGUUGUCCGGAUUUAUUGGGCGUAAAGCGCGUGUAGGCGGUUUGGUAGGUCCGCUGUGAAAACUCGAGGCUCAACCUCGAGACGCCGGUGGAAACCAUCAGACUAGAGUCCGGAAGAGGAGAGUGGAAUUCCUGGUGUAGCGGUGAAAUGCGCAGAUAUCAGGAAGAACACCCGUGGCGAAGGCGGCUCUCUAGUACGGUACUGACGCUGAGACGCGAAAGCGUGGGGAGCGAACAGG
rnacentral:rRNA from 1 species